rnacentral:tRNA from 1 species
AGGAUUAUAGUUUAAAAAAAACAUUUAAUUUGCAUUUAAAUAAUAUUGAAUUUCAAUUUAUCUUA